AAUGGUUAACAUAUUAAAAUGAGUUACAUAACGUCAAUAAUAACAGUAGGCCUAAGCAAAAAGGGUUAAAACGCACAAAGAAGUGGCACACAAACAAAAAAAGCUCAGAUAAUGGCAAUGGCUCUGAAGCAGUCAAUGCAGUAAAGACAAUACGAAGGAGACAAGAGAAAGAAGAAAAGUCUCAGAGGACACACUGAAAGCACACACGAGACAUAACGGAGGCAGGCAGCAGAGAUGGAGCGACAGCAACAAUGACUGUCACAUCGAACACACAUCACAUCUGACAGAUUAAUAUGUGCUUAAAUAGUUAUCCGACAGCCAUGUUUUAAGGUGUGUUGUAAAGGUGGAGCAUUCAUGUAUAUCUU